CGCGCCUGCCCGGCGGGGUCCGGCGGCCCGGAGAUGCCCGACCCCAGGCGCCGCGGCUUCCCAGGCAGCGGACCCGCGCCCGACCGCAGCCGAGCGAAGCCGGAAAAGGGAGAGAAUACUAAUGAGCUGUGAAAUGACCAAAAAUCAGGCAGCAGAAGGGAAAAGAAGAAAUAACGGGUUUGAUGAGUUGAAGUCCCUUCAGGCUGGUUCCUGUGUCCUUUUGACAUGUCCUUAUCAUUUUUUGGAGCACUUCCUCACUCUCUGGAACAACAAGAUAUUCCAGGCUUAUCUUAUACUGUCCCUGCCCCAAGUGUGAAAUCAGCCAUUUUCCCAAGGAGCUCUGAUUCCUUUUAUUGGAGAAUGAUAUUAAAUAAUAU